UACGUAGGGGGCAAGCGUUGUCCGGAAUUAUUGGGCGUAAAGCGCGCGCAGGCGGUCAUUUAAGUUUGGUGUUUAAUUCCGGGGCUCAACCCCGGGUCGCACUGAAAACUGGGUGACUUGAGUGCGGGAGAGGAAAGUGGAAUUCCACGUGUAGCGGUGAAAUGCGUAGAGAUGUGGAGGAACACCAGUGGCGAAGGCAGCUCUCUGGGACGGUACUGACGCUGAGACGCGAAAGCGUGGGGAGCGAACAGG
rnacentral:rRNA from 1 species